AUACGUAGGGUGCGAGCGUUGUCCGGAAUUACUGGGCGUAAAGAGCUCGUAGGUGGUUUGUCGCGUCGUCUGUGAAAUUCCGGGGCUUAACUCCGGGCGUGCAGGCGAUACGGGCAUAACUUGAGUACUGUAGGGGAGACUGGAAUUCCUGGUGUAGCGGUGAAAUGCGCAGAUAGCAGGAGGAACACCGGUGGCGAAGGCGGGGCUCGGGGGAGGAACUGACGCGGAGGAGCGAAAGCAUGGGUGGGGAACAGGAUUAGGUACCCUGGUGGUCCAUGCCGUAAACGGUGGGCGCUAGGUGUAGGGGUCUUCCACGACUUCUGUGCCGUAGCUAACACAUUAAGCGCCCCGCCUGGGGAGUACGGCCGCAAGGCUAAAACUCAAAGGAAUUGACGGGG
rnacentral:rRNA from 1 species